rnacentral:tRNA from 1 species
GCCGGGCUGGCCCAAUGGUUAAGGCGCAUGCUUCCUACCUGGUUACGUAACCAUUCCUGGGGGUUUUCCGGUUGAGCGUGAGAUUGUGGGUUCGAGUCCCACGUUCGGUU